GACGAACGCUGGCGGCGUGCCUAAUACAUGCAAGUCGAACGCAGUGGGGACUGGUGCGUAACACGUUGGUAACCUCCCAUCAGAGGGGAUCACACUUUGAAACACGUGCUAAACCGAUACUGAUGGAUGAACCCGCGGUGCAUUAGCUAGUUGGUGAGGUACCGGCUCACCAAGGCCACGAUGCAUAGCCGACCUGAGAGGGUGAUCGGCCACACUGGGACUGAGACACGGCCCAGACUCCUACGGGAGGCAGCAGUAGGGAAUCUUCGGCAAUGGACGAAAGUCUGACGGAGCAACGCCGCGUGAGUGAUGAAGGUCUUCGGAUCGUAAAACUCUGUUAUUAGGGAAGCGGUACCUAAUCAGAAAGCCACGGCUAACUACGUGCCAGCAGCCGCGGUAAUAC
rnacentral:rRNA from 1 species